rnacentral:rRNA from 1 species
GACGAACGCUGGCGGCGUGCUUAACACAUGCAAGUCGAACGGAAAGGCCCUGCUUUUGUGGGGUGCUCGAGUGGCGAACGGGUGAGUAACACGUGAGUAACCUGCCCUUGACUUUGGGAUAACUUCAGGAAACUGGGGCUAAUACCGGAUAGGAGCUCCUGCUGCAUGGUGGGGGUUGGAAAGUUUCGGCGGUUGGGGAUGGACUCGCGGCUUAUCAGCUUGUUGGUGGGGUAGUGGCUUACCAAGGCUUUGACGGGUAGCCGGCCUGAGAGGGUGACCGGCAACAUUGGGAUUGAGAUACGGCCCAGACUCCUACGGGAGGCAGAAGGGGGGAAUAUUGCACAAUGGGCGGAAGCCUGAUGCAGCAACGCCGCGUGCGGGAUGACGGCCUUCGGGUUGUAAACCGCUUUCGCCUGUGACGAGGCGUGGGUGACGGUAAUGGGUAAAGAAGCACCGGCUAACUACGU